GUGUGGAUAGGGGAGAAAUUCCAAUCGAACCCGGAGAUAGCUGGUUCUCCUCGAAAUAGCUUUAGGGCUAGCCUCAUGCAAGUCUUACGGAGGUAGAGCACUGAAUUCCUAAGGGGGCGUCAAAGCUUACCAAGGGAUAUCAAACUCCGAAUGCCGUGUAGAUGGUGCAUGGGAGUCAGACUAUCCGAGAUAAGUUGGGUAGUCAAAAGGGAAAGAGCCCAGACCUACAGCUAAGGUCCCAAAAUGUGUGUUAAGUGGAAAAGGAUGUGGGAUUUCGAAGACAACUAGGAUGUUGGCUUAGAAGCAGCCAUCCAUUAAAAGAGUGCGUAAUAGCUCACUAGUCGAGAGGUCCUGCGCCGAAAAUGUCCGGGGCUGAAACACACUACCGAAGCUUGGGAAUUGACGAAUGUUAAUUGGUAGAGGAGCAUUCUUAACGGGGCGAAGCUGUACCGGAAGGAGCAGUGGACUGUUAAGAAGAGAGAAUGCCGGAAUGAGUAGCGAGAGGAAGGUGAGAAUCCUUCCGGCCGAAUAUCUAAGGUUUCCAGAGUAAAGCUGAUCUGCUCUGGGUAAGUCGGGGCCUAAGGCGAGGUCGAAAGACGUAGUCGAUGGAUAACAGGUAAAGAUUCCUGUACUAUAUCAUAACAGAACUGUGGGGACGCAGACAGAGAGCAUAAGCCGGGAAUGGAAAAACCGGUACAAGCGAGGUAGGAGUGCAUCAGGCAAAUCCGGUGCACAAUCUGAAGACGUGAUGUGGGGCGUAAAGCCGGAAGUAUGUGAGCUGGCUGCCAAGAAAAGCCGCUAUUGUUUAUGAUAUACCCGUACCGUAAACCGACACAGGUGGAUGAGGAGAGAAUCCUAAGGCCGACGGGAGAAGCAUUGUUAAGGAACUCGGCAAAAUGACUCCGUAACUUCGGGAGAAGGAGUGCCAGUGAGAGCUGGCCGCAGAGAAUUGGCCCAAGCAACUGUUUAGCAAAAACACAGGUCUAUGCAAAACCGAAAGGUGAAGUAUAUGGGCUGACGCCUGCCCGGUGCUGGAAGGUUAAGGGGAGAGGUUAGCGGUAACGCGAAGCUUUGAACUUAAGCCCCAGUAAACGGCGGCCGUAACUAUAACGGUCCUAAGGUAGCGAAAUUCCUUGUCGG
rnacentral:rRNA from 1 species